CCUCUCACUGCCGCGAUCUCCCUGCGGUGAGCAGUCUCAAGCCUGUUGGCCAAGGCCUCAAAGUUACUACAAUAUGAAAUACUAUAUCAUGUGUAAUGAUUAUGUCUAAAGUACCAUGGAAUGCGAUAAUUUACCAUUACAACUGUUCUUAUGCUGUAACUCCUAUAUACUGUGAUAUCCAAACCUUUUUUUUUUCCAUUUAAUAAAUACUACUCUUAUAUAGCUAUCAGUAUUUUACUGUUUUGACAUUGCUGCCUAAAAGCCCCACAAAAAACGGGGAAACCUUUCCAUUUUCUAGGCCUCAAAGUUGGACCUCGUGGGAAUCUCCCGGAGCAGUUCCCGCAACUCCUCGUCAGCCCGUAAGGUAACAGAGAUGUCCAUUGAAAGCGAAAAAUCGAGUUAUCAUCAUUCACUCUCACAUCUUUCAAACCUGGUAACAGAGAUGUCCAUUAAAAGCGAAAAAUCGAGUUAUCAUCAUUCACUCUCACAUCUUUCAAACCUGAUAUUUGAAUCUUCAUAUUUCGAUGACAUUGACCAUUAUAACAAAGAACUGGCUUUUGAAUGGCCAGAUGGAGAUCGUGUUGGAAAAACUGAUUGGCGCUCAUGCCAGAACUGUAUCGCCAUGGCAACACAAGAUAAAUCAGUACUUAAGAAGAAGAAUUCCACAAUCCACAUUAAGGGAACACAGAAAUAGGUGUCUUCAGGAAGCAUGCCAUUGGAGUUUUAUUAAUUUUGUGUAUGGUCAUUUUGGUCCCGAAUAUCACCUUCCAUUACCCUCUUGUGUUCUCAAUUAUGUCAGAAAACGCUACCCAGAUCCUCUGGAAGAAUCUGAAGGAUGUUACUGGAGAAAUGACUACUCGCCGUUAUAUAUAUAAGUCAAAUCCUGCACCACCAUGAAUAGGAUACUCCGAGUAUCACUGCAAUGAAAGCAGCAGCUGCACGAUCACAGAAUAUUCGCUUGGAGUGUGGUGACAGGUAUCUCAUGGAGGGUUCUGUAUAAAAUCAAUGCAAAGCUAAUAUCAAAUAUACCUUUGGUCCAAAAAGUUGCAACACCAUGCAGGGGUCCUCAAGUGGUAUAAAUAGGCUGCAGGAGGGGCAAUGUCUCAAAGAAGGAGAGAACAGCAAGCUUAGCCAAUGGUGUUAUUAUGGCCUAAGGCCACUGGAAUGGUGGACCCAUAGGGUGACCACGUGUCCCGAAUUGCCCGGGACAGCUCAUUCUGCAG